CUUUUACCUUUAAUAGACAUUCGUAGGAUGAUCUCAUUUCUGAAGAACGCUUACACGUACAUAUUUUAAAGGCAGGGGUAAAUAUAUACAUGAAACAUUCGAAUGACAUUUUUUUGAACGCCACCUUCAAUACUAUUGUGUAUUUGAAUUGGAAUCUAGUGUUUCUGCUACAAACGCCUACUGAUUAAGUAUUUUCACUUAUAAUACGUAUUUAAAUAUGACCUCAUUUACAGCUGCUUGUGUUCGGACAAGAAAACAAUAACCUGCCCGAGAGUGCAGAUAGCUCGAGUAAGUUUUGUCGCACUUUUUGAAACCGCAUAUCUUUUGUACUUUCUGGACACUCUGUGAGCAAAUUUCCAAAUGUGUGUCUUAAAUAUUGUUUUUUUCAAAGUAAAUGAUAUUACAAUAGAUUAUUUUGUACAAAGAACGUCAAAAAAGAGGGACGAAAGAUACCAAAGGGACAGUUAAACUC
rnacentral:lncRNA from 1 species